GGCGGCACGCUUAACACAUGCAAGUCGGGCGGUAACAUGGUGUGUAGCAAUACACACUGAUGACGAGCGGCGGACGGGUGAGGAAUACGCAGGAACCUGCCCUUGAGAGGGGGACAACCAAGGGAAACUUUGGCUAAUACCGCAUAAUCUCGGGAGAAGAAAGGUGCCCGCAAGGGUGCCACUCGAGGAGGGGCCUGCGUCCGAUUAGCUAGUUGGUAGGGUAAAAGCCUACCAAGGCAAUGAUCGGUAACUGGUCUGAGAGGACGGCCAGUCACACUGGGACUGAGACACGGCCCAGACUCCUACGGGAGGCAGCAGUGGGGAAUAUUGGACAAUGGGGGCAACCCUGAUCCAGCGAUGCCGCGUGGGUGAANAANGCCUUCGGGUUGUNAAGCCCUUUA
rnacentral:rRNA from 1 species